rnacentral:rRNA from 1 species
CCUGCGGAAGGAUAUUA